CCUACGGGGGGCUGCAGUGGGGAAUAUUGGGCAAUGGAGGCAACUCUGACCCAGCAACGCCGCGUGAGGGAAGAAGGUUUUCGGAUUGUAAACCUCUGUCCUAGGGGACGAAGAAAGUGACGGUACCCUAGGAGGAAGCCCCGGCUAACUACGUGCCAGCAGCCGCGGUAAUACGUAGGGGGCAAGCGUUGUCCGGAAUUACUGGGCGUAAAGGGUGCGUAGGCGGUUUGGUAAGUUAGAUGUGAAAUCCCCGGGCUUAACUCGGGAGUUGCAUUUAAAACUGCUGAACUAGAGUGCAGGAGAGGAAAGCGGAAUUCCUAGUGUAGCGGUGAAAUGCGUAGAUAUUAGGAGGAACACCAGUGGCGAAGGCGGCUUUCUGGACUGUAACUGACGCUGAGGCACGAAAGCGUGGGGAGCGAACAGGCUUAGAUACCCCAGUAGUC
rnacentral:rRNA from 1 species